AGAGUUUGAUCCUGGCUCAGGAUGAACGCUGGCGGCGUGCUUAAUACAUGCAAGUCGAACGAAGCACCUUGGACAGAAUCCUUCGGGAGGAAGACCAUUGUGACUGAGUGGCGGACGGGUGAGUAACGCGUGGGUAACCUGCCUUGUACAGGGGGAUAACAGUUGGAAACGACUGCUAAUACCGCAUAAGCGCACAGUACCGCAUGGUACGGUGUGAAAAACUCCGGUGGUACAAGAUGGACCCGCGUCUGAUUAGCUUGUUGGUGAGGUAACGGCCCACCAAGGCGACGAUCAGUAGCCGACUUGAGAGAGUGAUCGGCCACAUUGGGACUGAGACACGGCCCAAACUCCUACGGGAGGCAGCAGUAGGGAAUAUUGCACAAUGGGGGAAACCCUGAUGCAGCGACGCCGCGUGAAGGAAGAAGUAUUUCGGUAUGUAAACUUCUAUCAGCAAGGAAGAAAAUGACGGUACUUGACUAAGAAGCCCCGGCUAAUACCGUGCCAGCACCGCGGU
rnacentral:rRNA from 1 species